rnacentral:rRNA from 1 species
ACUGCACCUACGGGACGCAGCAGUGGGGAAUAUUGCACAAUGGGCGCAAGCCUGAUGCAGCCAUGCCGCGUGUGUGAAGAAGGCCUUCGGGUUGUAAAGCACUUUCAGCGAGGAGGAAGGUGGUGAGCUUAAUACGUUCAUCAAUUGACGUUACUCGCAGAAGAAGCACCGGCUAACUCCGUGCCAGCAGCCGCGGUAAUACGGAGGGUGCAAGCGUUAAUCGGAAUUACUGGGCGUAAAGCGCACGCAGGCGGUUUGUUAAGUCAGAUGUGAAAUCCCCCGGGCUCAACCUGGGGAACUGCAUUUGAAACUGGCAAGCUAGAGUCUCGUAGAGGGGGGUAGAAUUCCCAGGUGUAGCGGUGAAAAUGCGUAGAUUGCAG